rnacentral:rRNA from 1 species
AACGAACGCUGGCGGCAUGCCUAACACAUGCAAGUCGAACGAGACCUUCGGGUCUAGUGGCGCACGGCUGCGUAACGCGUGGGAACCUGCCCUUAGGUUCGGAAUAACUCACCGAAAGGGGUGCUAAUACCGGAUAAUGUCUUCGGACCAAAGAUAUGUCGCCUUUGGAUGGGCCCGCGUCGGAUUAGCUUGUUGGUAGGGUAAUGGCCUACCAAGGCGACGGUGGGUAGCUGGUCUGAGAGGGUGAUCGGCAACACUGGGACUGAGACAGGGCCCAGCCCCCGACGGGAGGCGGAGGGGGGGGAGGGUGAAAAGUGGGCGGGGGCGAAAGGCAGAACCGCCGCGUGCGGGAUGAGGGUCAAGGCGUUGGGGUGGGAAUGCGCUUUUGCCGGGGAGUGAAUGACGGUAACGGGGAAAGAAGCCCCGGCUAACUUCGUG